rnacentral:rRNA from 1 species
CUCGAAGUCCAGUUGCGGGCGGAUUCAGUGGGGAGCUCUCCGGCAUCCUUUAUUCGCAAUCUCGUCGUCCGAUUCGUUCGGAACGCCACGAGGUCGGAUCAUCGGAUGACCCGGUCCGCGACCCCACGCAUUUCCACCCGCACGUCGGACGCCGCAGCCGGUUGGGCAUAAAUUAACGUCGGCCAUGAGGUCGGACGAUGGCAGGUGGCCGGCGAUCGCCUUCUCGGCGUUUCGUCGGUCGUUAGCCGGUUUCCGUCCGUGGCGCGACGCCCGACCGAGGCUCUAAAGGUCGGAAGUUAAUCCGGCCGUGCCUUCCCCUCAUCUUUUUGUUGUCAACAACAAAAGUAUGAGCGGGCCGGCAGACAGGUGCGCUGCUGUGUCGUUCGCUUGCAGUCUUCGCACUGGGCGUCGCGCAGUUACUAACCGCUAGUCUGCAUCGGUCCCCGCGAGGGAUACGGAUGGCUUGCGGCGAGUAGGUCGGUCACCCACCCGACCCGUCUUGAAACACGGACCAAGGAGUCUAACAUGUGCGCGAGUCACGGGGUCUUGUUCAGGCCCAGAGGCGCAAUGAAAGUGACGCUAAUUUUAUUAGCAAGUUGGGAUUCCUAUCAAAUGAGGAAGCACCAACGACCCGCCCCGUUCGAGUCCCUCGAUGGGGCGGAGUCAGAGCUCACACGUUGGGACCCGAAAGAUGGUGAACUAUGCCUGGGCAGGACGAAGCCAGAGGAAACUCUGGUGGAGGUCCGCAGCGGUU